rnacentral:rRNA from 1 species
GGCGGCAGGCUUAACACAUGCAAGUCGAACGCUCAUAGCAAUAUGGGAGUGGCGCACGGGUGAGUAACGCGUGGGAAUAUGCCCUUUAGUUUGGGAUAACUACUGGAAACGGUAGCUAAUACCAGAUACGCCCUUCGGGGGAAAGAUUUAUCGCUAAAGGAUUAGCCCGCGUAAGAUUAGGUAGUUGGUGGGGUAAUGGCCUACCAAGCCUACGAUCUUUAGCUGGUCUGAGAGGAUGAUCAGCCACACUGGAACUGAGACACGGUCCAGACUCCUACGGGAGGCAGCAGUGGGGAAUAUUGGACAAUGGGCGAAAGCCUGAUCCAGCCAUGCCGCGUGUGUGAUGAAGGCCUUAGGGUUGUAAAGCACUUUUGUCAGGGAAGAUAAUGACGGUACCUGAAGAAUAAGCACCGGCUAACUUCGUGCCAGCAGCCGCGGUAAUACGAAGGGGGCUAGCGUUGCUCGGAAUCACUGGGCGUAAAGGGUGCGUA